rnacentral:rRNA from 1 species
GAGCAGCCCAGAGCCUGAAUCAGUGUGUGUGUUAGUGGAAGCGUCUGGAAAGGCGCGCGAUACAGGGUGACAGCCCCGUACACAAAAAUGCACAUACUGUGAGCUCGAUGAGUAGGGCGGGACACGUGGUAUCCUGUCUGAAUAUGGGGGGACCAUCCUCCAAGGCUAAAUACUCCUGACUGACCGAUAGUGAACCAGUACCGUGAGGGAAAGGCGAAAAGAACCCCGGCGAGGGGAGUGAAAAAGAACCUGAAACCGUGUACGUACAAGCAGUGGGAGCACGCUUCGGCGUGUGACUGCGUACCUUUUGUAUAAUGGGUCAGCGACUUAUAUUCUGUAGCAAGGUUAACCGAAUAGGGGAGCCGAAGGGAAACCGAGUCUUAACUGGGCGUUAAGUUGCAGGGUAUAGACCCGAAACCCGGUGAUCUAGCCAUGGGCAGGUUGAAGGUUGGGUAACACUAACUGGAGGACCGAACCGACUAAUGUUGAAAAAUUAGCGGAUGACUUGUGGCUGGGGGUGAAAGGCCAAUCAAACCGGGAGAUAGCUGGUUCUCCCCGAAAGCU